UAACGGGAUUAGAUACCCUGGUAGUCCACGCCGUAAACGAUGUCGACUUGGAGGUUGUUCCCUUGAGGAGUGGCUUCCGGAGCUAACGCGUUAAGUCGACCGCCUGGGGAGUACGGCCGCAAGGUUAAAACUCAAAUGAAUUGACGGGGGCCCGCACAAGCGGUGGAGCAUGUGGUUUAAUUCGAUGCAACGCGAAGAACCUUACCUACUCUUGACAUCCAGAGAACUUAGCAGAGAUGCUUUGGUGCCUUCGGGAACUCUGAGACAGGUGCUGCAUGGCUGUCGUCAGCUCGUGUUGUGAAAUGUUGGGUUAAGUCCCGCAACGAGCGCAACCCUUAUCCUUUGUUGCCAGCGAUUCGGUCGGGAACUCAAAGGAGACUGCCGGUGAUAAACCGGAGGAAGGUGGGGAUGACGUCAAGUCAUCAUGGCCCUUACGAGUAGGGCUACACACGUGCUACAAUGGCGCAUACAAAGAGAAGCGACCUCGCGAGAGCAAGCGGACCUCAUAAAGUGCGUCGUAGUCCGGAUCGGAGUCUGCAACUCGACUCCGUGAAGUCGGAAUCGCUAGUAAUCGUGGAUCAGAAUGCCACGGUGAAUACGUUCCCGGGCCUUGUACACACCGCCCGUCACACCAUGGGAGUGGGUUGCAAAAGAAGUAGGUAGCUUAACCUUCGGGAGGGCGCUUACCACUUUGUGAUUCGUGACUGGGGUGAAGUCGUAACAAGGUAACCA
rnacentral:rRNA from 1 species